GAUUAUGGCUCAGGAUGAACGCUAGCUACAGGCUUAACACAUGCAAGUCGAGGGCAGCAGGACGAUAGCUUGCUAUUGUUGCUGGCGACCGGCGCACGGGUGAGUAACGCGUAUCCAACCUUCCCCUUAGUAGGGCAUAGCCCGGUGAAAAUCGGAUUAAUACCCUAUGUUGUGUCAUGAGGACAUCUGAAUAACACUAAAGAUUUAUCGCUAAGGGAUGGGGAUGCGUCCGAUUAGGUAGUCGGCGGGGUAACGGCCCACCGAGCCCUCGAUCGGUAGGGGUUCUGAGAGGAAGGUCCCCCACACUGGUACUGAGACACGGACCAGACUCCUACGGGAGGCAGCAGUGAGGAAUAUUGGUCAAUGGGCGUAAGCCUGAACCAGCCAAGUAGCGUGCAGGAUGACGGCCCUAUAGGUUGUAAACUGCUUUUAUCAGGGAAUAAAGUGCGGCACGCGUGCCGUUUUGUAUGUACCUGACGAAUAAGGACCGGCUAAUUCCGUGCCAGCCGCCGC
rnacentral:rRNA from 1 species